AACAGGUUGUCGAGGGACGGUUAGCCACACCCUUUUCCAAAGGGGGUGGUAUGAUGAUUUCAAUGUUUGAGGCAAUGUAUCUGAUGAUUGCAUUUGCAACACUCGUUGUUUUGAUCAUAAAAAAGAAAUAACCGCUCCCACGCCAUGGUUUGCGGUUAUUUCUCAAUAACGUAAUCCGGGCUAACCGUUCGGUUAGACAGUCUGUUGGGCUGGCGUGUUAGAGCACGUCAG
rnacentral:misc_RNA from 1 species